CUGGUUACAGGUAACACUAUACAAUGCCCUGACCACUGGUUACAGGUAACACUAUACAAUGCCCUGACCACUGGUUACAGGUAACACUAUACAAUGCCCUGACCACUGGUUACAAGUAACACUAUACACUGCCCUGACCACUGGUUACAGGUAACACUAUACACUGCCCUGACCACUGGUUACAAGUAACACUAUACACUGCCCUGACCACUGGUUACAGGUAACACUAUACACUGCCCUGACCACUGGUUACAGGUAACACUAUACACUGCCCUGACCACUGGUUACAGGUAACACUAUACAAUGCCCUGACCACUGGUUACAGGUAACACUAUACAAUGCCCUGACCACUGGUUACAGGUAACACUAUACAAUGCCCUGACCACUGGUUACAGGUAACACUGUGCAAUGCCCUGACCACUGGUUACAGGUAACACUAUACAAUGCCCUGAUCACUGGUUACAGGUAACACUAUACAAUGCCCUGCCCACUGGUUACAGGUAACACUAUACAAUGCCCUGACCACUGGUUACAGGUAACACUAUACAAUGCCCUGACCACUGGUUACAGGUAACACUGUGCAAUGCCCUGACCACUGGUUACAGGUAACACUAUACAAUGCCCUGCCCACUGGUUACAGGUAACACUAUACAAUGCCCUGACCACUGGUUACAGGUAACACUAUACAAUGCCCUGCCCACUGGUUACAGGUAACACUAUACAAUGCCCUGACCACUGGUUACAGGUAACACUAUACAAUGCCCUGACCACUGGUUACAGGUAACACUAUACAAUGCCCUGACCACUGGUUACAGGUAACACUAUACAAUGCCCUGCCCACUGGUUACAGGUAACACUAUACAAUGCCCUGCCCACUGGUUACAGGUAACACUAUACAAUGCCCUGCCCACUGGUUACAGGUAACACUAUACAAUGCCCUGCCCACUGGUUACAGGUAACACUAUACAAUGCCCUGACCACUGGUUACAGGUAACACUAUACAAUGCCCUGACCACUGGUUACAGGUAACACUAUACAAUGCCCUGA